AAAGUCGUAACAAGGUUUCCGUAGGUGAACCUGCGGAAGGAUCAUCACAGGAUCUUUACAUAUCUACACACUGUGAACCGUAUGCUUUAGCAGAGCCGAGUUGGCGGGAGAAGAGGGGACGGCUUGCCUGUCCUUGACGCGUGUCUCCUGCAGCAGUCGCUGCAGUGAGCGCCCGCCACUCGUCUGCGUUUACCACAAACUCUUGACUAUUAUACACUAUACACUGAUACAUUUUACCAUAACCAAUACAACUUUCAACAAUGGAUCUCUUGGUUCUC
rnacentral:misc_RNA from 1 species